rnacentral:lncRNA from 10 species
CAGAGGCAGAGAGACAGAGAGGAGCCACCCUAAGAAGAGAGACCAGAUACCCUUUUCUCAUCCUUUGAGUUCAACAGAUGUCUCUUCUGGUUGCAAGUGACAGAAGCCCACACAGAAAAGGCUCAGACCAAAGAGAAAUUUAUGGGCUCCUGAAACCGAUGGGGGUGAUGAUCCCACUUCUCUGACUCUCACCCAGAAGUUAGGAACUCCUUAAGCUCUUACAAAACUAGGUGGUGUGUUAGAUUUGGACUUCAGAAUGCCAUUUCCUGAGCCCUGCUAAGUCAAUUUAAGCAGAU